CCAACACAUGUUACCAAUAGUAGCAAGUUUCAUCCAUACAUAUACAUAGUUUCAUCAAUAUUACACAGUUUCAUCAUAGGUAGCAAGUUUCACAAAGUCAAAACAAAAACUAAAGACAAGCACUCCAUCAACCCAAGCUUCCGUGAUCUGAAGCAAAUCUACAAAAUGGGAAAGAGAAAGUUAAAAGAAGAAGACUAGAAGACAUAUAGACAAGCACCCGAAGAAAGUUAGAAGAAGACUAGAAGACACUAGCGGGUAGUGCGCGACGGCACGCCGCGCUCUAUGGAUUGGUAAGUUAUUUGAUUUUUGUAAUGUUUGGUGAGUCGUCCCAAGACUUGAUUAGUUGCAAAGUACAGUAGUUCAUACAAGAAAAAGGUACACCUAGUUGGUACGUGCAUAAGUGAUCUACAAUAGGUUGGCAAUGGCUACUGCAGUUGGAUAUAUAGAAUCGCAAAGGACCUGAGAUGUUGACCUUCUAGUUGGGUUUGUCUCUGGCAACUAUGGACGCCUCGCUAGGUAGGAGAAACUUCCCAACUAUUUGUCUCUUGUGCGUCUGUUGCCCGUGUAGAUGAUCUGUGUGUUGUUCCUAAGAAAGAAAUGGUGUACAAUUAACAGGGAAAGGACAUAACUUUCAUGGAUAAAAAACCAGCUCCCUGAAGGAAAAGAAAGGCAAAAUAAUGAAGAGAAACAUCAGUUAAAAUUAAGUUCAAUAUGUCUAUUUUCUACUUGGGAGUUCAACAUUUGCAAUUACAUCCCUUGAUUUAAAAUUAAAAAAAUUCAGAAGUACAAAACUGGGAUAAAAUGCAUGCUCCUGAAUGUAACACAAUGCAGAGAUUAUGUUUCCUUUUGCAGGCAUGCAUGUAUGUAGACAUGGAUGACAGAAAAGGUGUUUCUUCUUUCGAUGAAGAAGAAUCAUAGAUCUCCGACCGCAGCUUAAGUUUGGAAUUUCUGUUGACCCCAGCCUGUUAAAAUUUAUACAUGCAUAUCAACCAGUGGAACUCCUCACUUCGGGGAGCUGGGGCAGGCCGGUGGGUACCUCAUGGGAUGUGGGGCAGGCCGUCCCCAUGCUCUCUCUCUGCUGUUUAUGUAGCAAUUCGCCUUGUAGUCUGAAGCAUACGAACUUGUAUCAGCAUCUAUAUGUUUAUGUCCCUAUCAUCUUAUAUUUGGAUAAAAUUAUUACUGAAUAAAAUAGCAUCAAGAAAAAAACAAGAGGAACAUAUGAUCAAAAUGCGGUCUGUUAGUGUGCUAAUAUGCAUCUUUGGUGGUACUUUUGCUAAAAACUGAGUGCCCAAAUGAAAGUAAGUGCAACCAGGAGAAAGUAAAACAACCAUACACUGCCUAAAAACAUAGUACAAACUUCACUGACCCUGCUGAAGACGAAAACAAGAGGCUGGAUGAAGAAGCUGCUCCACAGUACUCAAGGAUCGUGGUGAGAGACGAAAACUUAGAGCUUCAUGGAGAAAUUGCAUGUCUGAAGGUUGUAGAUAGGGCUAGUCAAUCAGUUCAGGUACAAAAAGGGCCCCAGACUGCAGCAAAAUGAACUGAAAAGAUAUCUUCUGAACCUAUAAAAGCUCCAGUUUCUCUAGCAAGGGGAAAAUUCAGAGUUAUACCUAUUGAGUAGAUUUCCAGGCCCGACAGUAUGCAGUGUGCAUGCGAACUCGACCUCAAAACAGAAUACAAUACGUGCUGGCGGCUGAUAGCUUUCCGAUUGGAACACACAAUACGGCUCCCUGCAAAAAGCAAAAAACACAAUAUGGCUUGGCUGAUUGAUUUUUAUUGACUUGAUUCCCGGGAGGAUUACUUACGCUCAAGAUGAGAAAGGCACACCUCCGUACGCCUGAAUCAAGUGCAUUGGUAUACACUAGGCCGUUGCCACACAUCCUGGAGAUACAAGGCACGUCAACAACGCAUCUAUACGCGGCAACGUUGCAGACACAUAGACGGUCAAUCGCACGCACAAUGUCUGUACCAUAUCAGCACAUCCUGUACAAUAUAACUGCUAUGACAUCAAGUGCAUCGGUACCAUGACGCCACCGUAACACCGUACCACUCUAUACUAACUUCUAACUGGACACGCAGCAACAAAACAACAACCAGAGUUUAACUCACCCAUGUACAGACAGACUCUGUUAAUAAGGCAGGAACAACAAUUCAUUGUGAUACAGCAAAGACAGUCAAGCAAUAUAGCCCUGAUCAAAUCAGAACCAGCAACAGGAACGUCACUACAUUAAGCAACACCAAGACAAUUGACAAAAUAUCAUCAGUCUAGUCUGAUCCAAUCAACUCACCAUCAACAACCACGGGAACUUUGACCGCCUGGGGGUCCGGCUGGGGCUGAGGGGCAGGGAGGGGCAGAUAUGGCAGGCCAUUGGUGACGGCUUUGGCCAACUUGUAUGCAACGACGUCAGUCCAGUCAUCAGAACUAUAAGAUUGUAUGAACACAUUCAGCCAAGUGAUGUGCAAGCAGCGAAGAAAACAGAAAAUAGAGAUUGCAGUCCAUUGCUAAAGACUUACCCGGGUAGAAAACCAACCAUCUUAACGGCAAG
rnacentral:lncRNA from 1 species